GCGCCCGUAGCUCAGUUGGAUAGAGCGUCGGUCUCCGGAACCGAAGGCCGCGCGUUCGAAUCGCGCCGGGCGUACCA
rnacentral:tRNA from 1 species